rnacentral:rRNA from 1 species
ACGGGGGGAGCAAGCGUUGUUCGGAAUCACUGGGCGUAAAGGGCGUGUAGGCGGUCAGAUAAGUGAGAUGUGAAACGCCUCGGCUCACCCGAGGACCUGCAUCUCAAACUGCCUGGCUUGAGUAUGGGAGAGGAUGAGGGAAUUCCUGGUGUAGCGGUGAAAUGCGUAGAUAUCAGGAGGAACACCGGUGGCGAAAGCGCUCAUCUGGCCCAAUACUGACGCUGAGGCGCGAAAGCUAGGGGAGCAAACGGGA